rnacentral:rRNA from 1 species
UACGUAGGUGACAAGCGUUGUCCGGAUUUACUGGGCGUAAAGAGCGCGCAGGCGGUCAGAUAAGUCGAAUGUGAAAGCCCCCGGCUUAACUGGGGAGGGUCAUUCGAUACUGUUCGACUCGAAGGCAGGAGAGGGAAGCGGAAUUCCCGGUGUAGUGGUGAAAUGCGUAGAUAUCGGGAGGAACACCAGUGGCGAAGGCGGCUUCCUGGCCUGUUCUUGACGCUGAGGCGCGAAAGCGAGGGGAGCAAACGGG